AUUAUACUCCCUCCGUCCAAAAAUACUUGUCAUCAAAAUGGACAAAAAGGGAUGUAUCUAAAACUAAAAUACAUCUAGAUACAUCCCUUUUAUCCAUUUUGAUGACAAGUAUUUCCAGAUGGAGGGAGUAUAUA
rnacentral:pre_miRNA from 1 species